GAUGAACGCUGGCGGCGUGCUUAACACAUGCAAGUCGAACGGAAAGGCCCAAGCUUGCUUGGGUACUCGAGUGGCGAACGGGUGAGUAACACGUGGGUGAUCUGCCCUGCACUUCGGGAUAAGCCUGGGAAACUGGGUCUAAUACUGGAUAGGACCACUUCUUGGAUGGUGUGGUGGAAAGUUUUUUCGGUGUGGGAUGAGCUCGCGGCCUAUCAGCUUGUUGGUGGGGUAAUGGCCUACCAAGGCGUCGACGGGUAGCCGGCCUGAGAGGGUGUACGGCCACACUGGGGCUGAGAGGAGGGUCAGACUCCUACAGGAGGCAGCAGUGGGGAAUAUUGAACAAAGAGAGCUAGCGUGAUGCAGCGAAGCCGCGUGGGGGAUGACGGCCUUAGGGUUGUAAACGCCGUUCGCAGAGGACGAAGCGUUUUUGUGACGGUAACUGGAGAAGAAGCACCGGCUAACUACGUG
rnacentral:rRNA from 1 species